CGGCAGGCCUAAUACAUGCAAGUCGAGGGGCAGCGAUGCAGCAAUACAGUCGGCGACCGGCGCACGGGUGCGUAACACGUAUGCAACCUGCCUUCAACUGGGAGAUAGCCCGGGGAAACUCGGAUUAAUACCCCAUAACACAGUGAAACAGCAUUGUUUUAUUGUUAAAGCUCCGGCGGUUGAAGAUGGGCAUGCGUUCGAUUAGCUAGUUGGUGUAGGUAACGGCUCACCAAGGCUACGAUCGAUAGGGGGUCUGAGAGGAUGAUCCCCCACACUGGUACUGAGAUACGGACCAGACUCCUACGGGAGGCAGCAGUAGGGAAUAUUGGUCAAUGGGCGCAAGCCUGAACCAGCCAUGCCGCGUGCAGGAAGACGGCCCUCUGGGUUGUAAACUGCUUUUGAUAGGGAACAAAUGCCACUUGCGAGUGGAGCUGAGUGUACCUAUAGAAUAAGCACCGGCUAACUCCGUGCCAGCAGCCGCGGUAAUACGGAGGGUGCAAGCGUUGUCCGGAUUUAUUGGGUUUAAAGGGUGCGUAGGCGGCCUAAUAAGUCAGUGGUGAAAGCCUCCAGCUUAACUGGAGAACUGCCAUUGAUACUG
rnacentral:rRNA from 1 species